rnacentral:rRNA from 1 species
UACGUAGGGCGCAAGCGUUAUCCGGAAUUAUUGGGCGUAAAGAGCUCGUAGGCGGUUUGUCGCGUCUGCUGUGAAAGACCGGGGCUCAACUCCGGUUCUGCAGUGGGUACGGGCAGACUAGAGUGCAGUAGGGGAGACUGGAAUUCCUGGUGUAGCGGUGAAAUGCGCAGAUAUCAGGAGGAACACCGGUGGCGAAGGCGGGUCUCUGGGCCGAAAUUGACGCUGAGGAGCGAAAGCGUGGGGAGCAAACAGG